rnacentral:tRNA from 1 species
GCCGCUAUAGCUCAGAUGGUAGAGCAAUUGAUUUGUAAUCAAUGGGUCCGGGGUUCGAUUCCUCGUGGCGGCACCA